UCUAAGGGGUUCAAACAUUUUGUUUGGUAGCUGGUUCUAGUCACUUGUUUUUGCAGAGAUGAGUUUUGAUAUAUAUAUAUGUGUGUUUUGGACUGUGUUAUGAGCAUUGAUACUUGCAAAUGUCUGUGAGACACAAUUUUUUUUGGGGGGGCCAAGUGUUGUGUGGCGUAUCAGGCGUCGCAUGGAGCUACGGGGAUUCAGAGACUUGAUCAACCUCUUUCUUCCCUGAACCUUGUAUGUGAGGUGGCUUCUAAGUUGACUGUAGACUAGGUCUUCCUUUUUUUUUCUCAUUUGGGCCAGAUGUGUCAGUAUCAGACGUAUUAUAUGUUCUUUGCUAGUCCCGAGAUUCCAAUUAAUCAGGAUGUUGGUGAAUUUCAGGAGGGGAGAAUGUAACCAGGGUGAAAUUAUAUCUUUUCUUUUACGGUUGGAAUGUCACCAAAUCCUGAUGAACAUUGUUUUCUAUAUGUUUUAGAUGUGUUUUAUUACCAAGAUUUAUGCCUGUAUGUUGUAUUCAGACCAUAGUGUUAAUACCGGUACUGUCACUUUAAGAGGUCACAGGCUUUGUGGCGUCAUUCGCGUGCCUUUUUCAGUCUGCGCCAGGCUAAUUGAGAGGAGGUAAUGCAUCAUCUUGCUCGUCAGUUUUAAACACUUAUUUUGGUUUUUGGACGAUGCAAACUUUGAUUUAUGCAUUUAUAAAUGUUAGUUUUGAGGUUGUGAGCAUGCAGUUCAUGUGUCAAUUGAUUUAUAAACUUUGUAAAUGGACCUUUUGCAAGCUUUAAAAUAGACGUUUCCACGUGCUAGUCUACAGGGUUUUCUGUAUGUUUAUCUGCUAACAGGAGAUUGAGAUCUGUAUGCUACGUGGAGGAGACUGCAUGUGACAGAGCCUUAUGUAUUUUUUUGUUCAUUUGUACAGACAAAUCUGCUGUUCCGUCGUCAUCAAAAGAGCAAACGGCAAUUGG